rnacentral:rRNA from 1 species
GACGAACGCUGGCGGCGUGCUUAACACAUGCAAGUCGAGCGGUAAGGCCCUUUCGGGGGUACACGAGCGGCGAACGGGUGAGUAACACGUGGGUGACCUGCCCUCAGCUCUGGGAUAAGCCCGGGAAACUGGGUCUAAUACCGGAUAUGACUCCAUGACGCAUGUUGUGGGGUGGAAAGCCUUGUGCGGCUGAGGAUGGGGCCCGCGGCCUAUCAGCUUGUUGGUGGGGGUGAUGGCCUACCAAGGCGACGACGGGUAGCCGGCCUGAGAGGGCGACCGGCCACACUGGGACUGAGAUACGGCCCAGACUCCUACGGGAGGCAGCAGUGGGGAAUCUUGCGCAAUGGGCGAAAGCCUGACGCAGCGACGCCGCGUGA